rnacentral:rRNA from 1 species
CAGCAGCCGCGGUAAUACAGAGGGUGCAAGCGUUAAUCGGAAUUACUGGGCGUAAAGCGCGCGUAGGUGGUUUGUUAAGUUGGAUGUGAAAGCCCCGGGCUCAACCUGGGAACUGCAUCCAAAACUGGCAAGCUAGAGUACGGUAGAGGGUGGUGGAAUUUCAUGUGUAGCGGUGAAAUGCGUAGAUAUAGGAAGGAACACCAGUGGCGAAGGCGACCACCUGGACUGAUACUGACACUGAGGUGCGAAAGCGUGGGGAGCAAACAGGAUUAGAGACCCCAGUAGUCCCUGUCUCUUAUAC